rnacentral:miRNA from 3 species
UCAGAGUUUUGCCAGUUCCGCC